CAUGAGAAAUUAAAUGGUGUUAGUGUAAUGUGUAUACAUAUUGACAAUGUUUUACAGGCUUAAGAUCUGUAGCAUAUUAAAAUGUCAUCAAAGGUUGGGUGUCUGUGCUCCCAUUCUUAGCAAAUUUAGUGUGAACAAGUUGUGGAAUUACUGAAACUAGAGCAUAUUAGUGCACAUAGAGAUCACUGUUUCAGGGAA